GUGGGGAAUUUUGGACAAUGGGCGCAAGCCUGAUCCAGCAAUGCCGCGUGCAGGAAGAAGGCCUUCGGGUUGUAAACUGCUUUUGUACGGAACGAAACGGUCCUGGUUAAUACCCGGGGCUAAUGACGGUACCGUAAGAAUAAGCACCGGCUAACUACGUGCCAGCAGCCGCGGUAAUACGUAGGGUGCAAGCGUUAAUCGGAAUUACUGGGCGUAAAGCGUGCGCAGGCGGUGCUGUAAGACAGGCGUGAAAUCCCCGGGCUUAACCUGGGAAUUGCGCUUGUGACUGCAGUGCUGGAGUGCGGCAGAGGGGGAUGGAAUUCCGCGUGUAGCAGUAAAAUGCGUAGAUAUGCGGAGGAACACCGAUGGCGAAGGCAAUCCCCUGGGCCUGCACUGACGCUCAUGCACGAAAGCGUGGGGAGCAAACAGGAUUAGAAACCCCAGUAGUCC
rnacentral:rRNA from 1 species